rnacentral:lncRNA from 1 species
CGGAAGGCGGUGGUGGGCCCAUACUCAAAGCUGGGCACUAUCGCCUGCCUGCUGUGUGACCGCAGGGGAGUUGCUCGGCUUCUCUGAGCCCGCAUCCCCUGGUCUCUAAGAAGAGGAAGAACAGGUGGGCACAGUAGUGGUGCAGCGGGCUCCGCCAGUUGUGGCGGCAUGCAUCUCCUAGGGCAGUGCCUGCGGUCAAAUCCUGGCGCCUCUGCCUCUGACCCAGCUCCCUGCUGAUGUGCCUGGGAGAGCAGUGGGAGAUGGACCCUGCACCCGCGUGGGAGACCCGGAUGGAGGCCCUGGCUCUGGCUGCAGGUUGGCCCAGCCCUGGCUAUUGCAGACAUUUGGGGAAUGCAUCAGCGGAUGGAAGGUUCUCUCUCUCUCUCUCUCUCUCUCUCUCCCUCUCUCUCUCUUCUCUCUGCCUUUCAAAAGGUUUUGAGUGUCGAGGCCUGAGACAGCGGCUCAGUCACCUAUUUGGUCCAUCCUCAUGCUCCUGCCCACGACGGCUCUGUGAAGUCACAAAUGCUGUUCACUGUCCAAAGCCACCUGUCCAGCGGAAACCGAAAUGAGAAAACACGCACAGCACACACGGCUCAUUCACGGCCUCCGUGCGCGCCUGCGGCCCCGGCCGCCCCCUCCCUCCCUCCCGGAUCGGGUUCCAGACAGCUCCGCGCGCGGCCUGCAGACUAUUUAGUCUGGGUUUGGUGACCCCGGCUGACUGCGGGCUCGGCGCGCUCAGGUUUCCGGGCCGCCCCGCCACGCCCCCGCCCCGCUCCCUACACAAACACCCACCCUCGAGCUUGGCGCUUCCUGAGCAAUUUUGCUCGCGGGAGGCUCGGCCGGCCGGCAGCGUGCAGAUGGGAGCCUCUGAGCCCUCUGGGGGCCUGCGUUCCAGGGCCCGAGCCGCUGAGCGCGUCCCAUUCCCAGGGCGGCUGCCCACGCCCCGCCCCCGCCACAACCCCUCCAGUUUGCAAGUUUAUCAAAAGAAAAAUAAAACCACGCAAAUUCAAAAGAUUUUUUUCCUU